AGAAAAAUACUAUGAUUGUUGUCUGUAUUGAAUCUCUCUCUUUAUUGAUUUGGGAUGUUAAUGGUAAACGAACACAUAAGGUUUACGGCAGCUAAGAAAAAUGAAGGCCCGUCACCAUCAACUUCCUAUAUGUAUAUAGAAAUAUCGCACUAUCACUUGGGUAUGGUAUCUACGUUCCUCAAAUGUUUCGAAAAACAAGCGCAUUAGUGUUUGGCUAAUUUUGGUUUGUAAUUCCGCAUUGACUGAAAACAAUUUACCAACUUAAAGUUUAAAUAUAUGCACGGGUGGCAACACCUUAUAAUCAAAUUUGCCCUAUAACGUGAACCAAUGUUGAAAAGUGACUGUCGCAUUAAAUUCUCCUUUUUGGAACCUCUUUUUACUGUGCCCUAAUUGGAACCUAACUUGAUUGGACUUUAAACCACCAACCCGUGCGGAAUUCAGUUUGGACACGGCAGUCUAGUAGGAUUGACGUUUUCAUACUUCUCUGCAUAUCAGUUUAUAUUGAUCAACAAACCUUUUCCGAUUCUAUGCAUGGCGUAUACAUGAUACAGCAUAUGAUCAAGUUUUUCUGAGGUCCUCUCCCUGUGGUCUACUACAGUUACCUUCAUAUAACCAGUGUAUGCAGGAUGUGAAGAGUAAUCGUAUAGUACAAGGACAACCAAACUCCAGGAGUGGGUAUCUCCAUCAAACCCACAAAUGUCUUCGCUAAUGAGCCAAUAUCAUAGACACUUGUGGAAUUAGGAUAAUGUUCUUUAUGAGAUAUUGUACAUAAUAAACUCUUUAUAUCUACA